CCGAGUUUACAACUCCCAAACCCUGUGAACAUACCUAUACGUUGCCUCGGCGGAUCAGCCCGCGCCCCGUAAAACGGGACGGCCCGCCCGAGGACCCCUAAACUCUGUUUUUAGUGGAACUUCUGAGUAAAACAAACAAAUAAAUCA
rnacentral:misc_RNA from 1 species